GAUGAACGCUGGCGGCAGGCUUAACACAUGCAAGUCGAGCGGGGGAAGGUAGCUUGCUACUGGACCUAGCGGCGGACGGGUGGGUAAUGCUUAGGAAUCUGCCUAUUAGUGGGGGACAACAUCUCGAAAGGGAUGCUAAUACCGCAUACGUCCUACGGGAGAAAGCAGGGGAUCUUCGGACCUUGCGCUAAUAGAUGAGCCUAAGUCGGAUUAGCUAGUUGGUGGGGUAAAGGCCUACCAAGGCGACGAUCUGUAGCGGGUCUGAGAGGAUGAUCCGCCACACUGGGACUGAGACACGGCCCAGACUCCUACGGGAGGCAGCAGUGGGGAAUAUUGGACAAUGGGGGGAACCCUGAUCCAGCCAUGCCGCGUGUGUGAAGAAGGCCUUAUGGUUGUAAAGCACUUUAAGCGAGGAGGAGGCUACUUUAGUUAAUACCUAGAGAUAGUGGACGUUACUCGCAGAAUAAGCACCGGCUAACUCUGUGCCAGCCGCCGCAGUAA
rnacentral:rRNA from 1 species